GAAGUGGGGGGGAGAAGAGGUUGUGGUAUGAAGGUAAAUUUAAUAGAAUCUGAAAAAAAAAACUAAGGAAAAAUUGUCUUUACAGAAUCCUGACUGUAAAAAUGUGUCUAAAGUAAACUAGUUUGCCUCGAUUUCUUGAAAGCACAACUACUUUUUUAAGGUUGGGUGUUUUUUUUUUUGUGUUUUCAGUGGUAAAUGACCACUUAAAUGACCCUUAAAAAUCGCUCCAAUUCCACUGAAUGAGAUCAACACAAGGAUCAAACUGAAAAUAGGACUCAAAAAGAAAAAAACGUAUUUAACAUUGAAAUCAAAAUUUUCAUUGAGCCGUAAAGGCUUUGAGGAAAUACUGCUCAGCAUCUACAUCCGGCUGUUUGCAGAAGAAGGUGAGGGUUAACCUUAAAAAACCUUUGACAGAUAAAAUGAAUGAGUACAAAUAUAUGCCAGCCUUUGCAGAUCUUCUUUUGUAAAAUGAAAAAAAAAAACUAUGUAUCACCCAAUGUAUCAUGUUAUGUAACUUUGACCUUUUUCAUCUUGACUCAUUUUAACAUUAAAUAUGGAUGUUUCUCCACUUCCUGAGAAGUGGAGAAAGAAUGAACAAAAAUGCUGACAUGUUUCUUAGCAGUUCAAGUCAGUAUGUGUGAAUGCCUUUUCUAAACCGAGUUUGUCCUGUGCAGGGCAGUGAAGAAGCUGCAGUCUAUGCUGGAGGUCAGAAGGCGACAACAUCGAAAGAAUUUCAGUUUGUUACAGAGCAAAGACAGAUACACAUAUGCUGAACAACCAGGGACAAAAAUGACUAUCACAAAGGUCAUUUCAGAAUGAUCUGGAAACAUGCAGGCUGCAGAGAAAAACAUGCUUAAGCUGCCUAAAGUUCAACUGUGCAGGAGUUUCAAGCUUUUUGUGGAACCACAUCAGUUUGGUAACUUGAAACACCCUUAGUUUGUUGACUUCCUCCUGACAGGUCAAACUCACACGCUUAACAACACUCAGUGAAAGCGUUGGUGGUUGCAGAACACGGAAUUUAUUUAUUCAGGGAAAGCAAGCAAAUUAUCACCUCACUGUAUUUCAAAUACACGUUAGAUCCAAAUAACAUUUCGUCUUGCAGGUUAAUUUUAUAGAAUGAAUGAUAAUUUAGCCAACAAAACCAACUAGCUCAGUUUUAAUCACAUAAUUUGGUUCUUUUAUGUUAGAGACCAACACAAAGUGGUCCAUAAUUGUAAAGCCAAGUCAACAAGAAAUGUAUAAUUUAUGAUUUUCCUUUUACUUCUCUGUAUUUGUUGAUUCGACUGUUUGAUUUCUAAAGAAUGAAAGUGAAACUGGUAACACUUUAUUUGAUGGGGUGUGCAUAAGGCUGACAUGACACUGUCAUAAACAUUAAGGAGUCUUUAUGAAUGUUUAUGAUCGUUGUCAUGAAAUGUCAGUCGGUAAAUAAUGCCACUUUUAAUGCAAAGUUGCUCUAAAAGUUGCAUUGAAAGUCCAUUAAAAGCCAACUUUGCAUGAUUCUGUAAAUAAUGUCACUUUAAUGGGUAAAUAAAUGUCAGUCUUAUGCACACCCCGUCAAAUAAAGUGUUACCGUAAAACUCAAUGAACUAGAGUAUUAAUAAAACAUUAAUUUCCUUCAGUAAUUAAAUUCAAAAGUGAAACACAUAUAUAAGUUCAUGCCAAACAGAGGGAUUCACUUGGUUAUGUCUGAUAUACACCUGCAGCUGUAAAACCUCAAACUACCUCAAACUACCCAGUUUAUUUCAAUGCUAACUGAAGCUAAAAGCAAAGUUAUUUUUGUCCUCUGCGGUUUAGGUGGAGACGCUGAAGAGCCAUUUUUCAGUCAUAGCUGCCUUCCUUUUUUAGUCAUAUUACCCAGCUGUGCAACAAGUUUUCACAUUAGUGGUUAGACAUAAUAGUCAAAGACCAACCAGCCAGCCCAUCAUUGUCCUUUUCACAAUGCAGCUCCCAAUUCUGUUUUAUCUCAGUCUAAUGUGGAUACUGCUAUCACAAGCUAAAGAAGACCCUCGCUGGAAGAUAUACUUGAAUCAGACCAUAAAUGCAACAAAAGGAUCAAAUAUAAUCAUAUUCUGCACAUUUGAAGCUCCUCCAGAACAAAAAACAAACAUUAAAGUUUAUUGGAAAACAAAAGGGAACAGUAGCUGCAGCAAGAAAGACAACGACAGGCUGGCAUUCGCGUUUCAUCCUAGCACCUCUUGCAUAGAUCCACACUUCCAGAGUAGGACAAAACUAAUUGGAGAAGCCAGAGAUGGAAACUGCUCUCUACAAAUCAUCAAUAUUAUGAAAAGUGAACCAUCAAUCUACCUGCGAGUUUCUGGAUGGAACGACAAUUACAGUUUCAAAAAACAUGCUGUCAAAUUUUAUGUGGAUGAAAAAAUAUUUAGUUAGUAUAUUUUCAAUUUUACCAGCUAUUUUAUGCUUGUUCAAACAUUUAAAGUUUUUCUAUUGUAGUCAAAGUUUUGAUUCCAUUAGGCAAUUAUAGCUUGCAAUCAUACAGAUUAAGUUUACUUUAAAUGUUUGGAAACAGAUUUUUCUUUUCAAGGUUUCUUGAGUCACACAGAUGAUCCCUCAUUUGAAUUUACAAUAAAUAAUUUUUUAUUUACUUCAUGUCAUUUAUUCAGUCUGUUCCUCAGAAACAAAUACGGACAUAUAAAAAUCUUCAGUAAGGCUUCUUUAAUGAAAAUGACUAUUGUUCACAGCAACCGCCAUGCCUGAUGUGCAUGAUGCUGGGAACAUCAAGCUGUACCUGGCCAUCUUUGUGCCACUUCUCGGACUUUUCAUCAUUGCUACAGCUGGGACAGUGGCUUACAAAAUGCACAAGAGGUCACUCAUGUUCAAACAGCAGGAAUCUGGAUAUUAUGCAAACUUCAGACAGACAUCAUCAACCACACCCAAAAGUGAAUCAUUUUGUAAAACAUCGAACCAGAUGCCUCCACAUCCAAAAGUCAUUGAUGAGCCUGUUUACAUUAAUUUUCAGGCAUCAGCAAAUCAAAUGGACCAACAAGUGGAAACCGUAGACAAUAUUUAUGGAAAUGUUGACUAUACAACUUAGAAAAAACCUCUGUCUCAAAGCUUUCAUCCUAAAGGAUUGUAUUUUCCUGCGUCGCCUUUGGUGUUCAAAUGCACAUGUUCAGUCAGAAGCAUCAAAAGUGUGUCAACUAGAUUGAGAAGAAUGCACUGGUUUGCAACACAUGCAUGGAAACUCCAAAGUUUAAUGAAAAGGAAACUUUAUCCAGCUGUUAGGACUGGCGUCGCAUCUUAAUUAUGCAAACAUGACGUGCAGGUGCCCAUCUCUGAUUGGGUCUCAGAAGACGGUGGAGACGUCCAAUUGGUGGCUUACUGGAGGUAACGGAUAUAAAAACUUCUGAUACGGACUUCCUGUCAUCCAUCCUCAGCUCAUCUCAACUGGCCUCACUGUCUUUCUGCCAAAAACUCUUCAUAAAAGUUCUUGGAGUUUGUAGGAGUUGGCUGCCGUUUAUGUUUGUUUUAUCAUAGUUUUAUCAUGUUUUUCUUAAUUAGGGAGGUAAGUUUUUGUCAUUUGGUUUAUUUACUUUCAAAUCAGUACGUUUUAAUGUUCACAUAG